rnacentral:rRNA from 1 species
AGCGAACGCUGGCGGCAGGCCUAACACAUGCAAGUCGAACGGACCUUUCGGGGUUAGUGGCGGACGGGUGAGUAACACGUGGGAACGUGCCUUUAGGUUCGGAAUAGCUCCUGGAAACGGGUGGUAAUGCCGAAUGUGCCCUUAGGGGGAAAGAUUUAUCGCCUUUAGAGCGGCCCGCGUCUGAUUAGCUAGUUGGUGAGGUAAUGGCUCACCAAGGCUACGAUCAGUAGCUAGUCUAAGAGGAUGCCCAGCCACAUUGGGACUGAGACACGGCCCAAACUCCUACGGGAGGCAGCAGUGGGGAAUCUUGCGCAAUGGGCGAAAGCCUGACGCAGCCAUGCCGCGUGGAUGAUGAAGGUCUUAGGAUUGUAAAAUCCUUUCACCGGUGAAGAUAAUGACUGUAGCCGGAGAAGAAGCCCCGGCUAACUUCGUGCCAGCAGCCGCCGUAA